rnacentral:rRNA from 1 species
AUUGAACGCUGGCGGCAUGCUUUACACAUGCAAGUCGAACGGCAGCGCGGGCUUCGGCCUGGCGGCGAGUGGCGAACGGGUGAGUAAUGCAUCGGAACGUGCCCAGUAGUGGGGGAUAGCCCGGCGAAAGCCGGAUUAAUACCGCAUACGACCUGAGGGUGAAAGCGGGGGACCGAAAGGCCUCGCGCUAUUGGAGCGGCCGAUGUCGGACUAGCUAGUUGGUGGGGUAAAGGCUUACCAAGGCGACGAUCCGUAGCUGGUCUGAGAGGACGACCAGCCACACUGGGACUGAGACACGGCCCAGACUCCUACGGGAGGCAGCAGUGGGGAAUUUUGGACAAUGGGGGCAACCCUGAUCCAGCCAUGCCGCGUGCGGGAAGAAGGCCUUCGGGUUGUAAACCGCUUUUGUUCGGGAAGAAAUCCUCUGGGCUAAUACCCCGGGGGGAUGACGGUACCGGAAGAAUAAGCACCGGCUAACUACGU